UUUUAUAUUUUUUUUCGAAUAUUCGCAACAGAAAAAAACCAUCUUUCAAACUUAUCUGUUUUUAUCAUCGAUAUUCGCUUUCCUAACAUAAUUUCGAAAAUUGGCAACCUUUUUUUAUAAAUCAUAAGCAAUAACCAUCUCAAAUAAAUUAUAAUUUAUCUAAAAAAAAGUUUGAUUAUCAAAUUCAAAUUUACUACCCGAAAAUAUCACUACCAUCACCUCCAUCAAAUUAAACCAGUUUUCUUCAUGUUUCAUUUUUCCAGCGAACCAUCAACGCAGCGCCAAACCGCCACUUAAGUGUUACAAUAAAUCAAAUUAUUCCCUGGCACACCACAAACUAUAUUCAGCAGUUAAGCGCUUUUGAGCAUUUCACCGUCUCCAAGCUGAUCGGCUUGAAUGCAAAGUCAAUAUUCGACGAGUACGUCAGAAUCAUCUCAACUAUACUUCUAUGAAAGCAUCCACCGGAAGCUCUUAAGGGCGCUGCGUACUGUCAAAAACAAAUGGUUCAGCUACUUCUUCUUACAUUCGUGGAAUUCACAAUGACAGAACGGAAUUUAAUACAUGAGAGAAAUACUGAGAACAGUUUGCUGGAAAUGUGUACUAAAAUCUGUUAAUUCUAAUGACUUGAACAACAUGGAUAAAGCAAUAUCUCUAAAACAAAGUGUAUUUUAACUAAAGUAAUAUUAUUAAUAUUUUAAUUUAUAUUUGUUUUUU